rnacentral:rRNA from 1 species
UACGUAGGUGGCAAGCGUUGUCCGGAAUUACUGGGCGUAAAGGGCGUGUAGGCGGCCUUUUAAGUCAGGCGUGAAAUCCAUGGGCUUAACCCAUGAAUUGCGUUUGAAACUGGAAGGCUUGAGGAUCGGAGAGGGCAGUGGAAUUCCCAGUGUAGCGGUGAAAUGCGUAGAUAUUGGGAGGAACACCAGUGGCGAAGGCGACUGCCUGGACGACACCUGACGCUGAGGCGCGAAAGCUAGGGGAGCAAACGGG